ensembl:lncRNA
GAGGAAAAGGGGACGACAGAGGAUGAGAUGGCUGGAUGGCAUCACCGACUUGAUGGAUGGCAUCUUCCAAACUUUGGGAUUGAACACACGUCUCUUACGUCUCCUGCAGUGGCAGGCAGCUUCUUUACCACUAGCUCCACCUCGAGACAAAGAUUACUUUCCAGAAGUCAAGGGCAAAGUUUCCUAAGGGUAAUUUUCCUAUGCUCAGAAGGUAAAGAAACUGCCUGCAAUGUGGAAGACCUGGGUUCAAUCCCUGGGUUGGGAAGAUCCCCCGGAGAAGAAAGGGCAUGGCAACCCACUCCAGUAUUCUUGGCUGGAGAAUUCCAUGGACAGAGGAGCCUGGCGGGCUGCAGUCCACAGGGUUGCAGAGUUGGACACAACUGAGCAACUAACAUGAGGGGAAAUUCCACACCAAGAGGGACCUCACUGCUUCGGCCAGGGAAGCAAGCUGUGGACUUUGGGCUGAGGACCUCGGCGGAGGUGCCCACAGCUGGGAAAGAGCUGUUUCCAUAGCAGCAUCCUCGCCAGCAGCACUCAGCUGCCCC